rnacentral:rRNA from 1 species
GACGAACGAGGGGGGAGGGGGGAACACAUGCAAGUCGAACGGAAAGGCCCUGCUUUUGUGGGGUGCUCGAGUGGCGAACGGGUGAGUAACACGUGAGUAACCUGCCCUUGACUUUGGGAUAACUUCAGGAAACUGGGGCUAAUACCGGAUAGGAGCUCCUGCUGCAUGGUGGGGGUUGGAAAGUUUCGGCGGUUGGGGAUGGACUCGCGGCUUAUCAGCUUGUUGGUGGGGUAGUGGCUUACCAAGGCUUUGACGGGUAGCCGGCCUGAGAGGGUGACCGGCCACAUUGGGACUGAGAUACGGCCCAGACUCCUACGGGAGGCAGCAGUGGGGAAUAUUGCACAAUGGGCGGAAGCCUGAUGCAGCAACGCCGCGUGCGGGAUGACGGCCUUCGGGUUGUAAACCGCUUUCGCCUGUGACGAAGCGUGAGUGACGGUAAUGGGUAAAGAAGCACCGGCUAACUACGUC